AUUGAACGCUGGCGGCAGGCUUAACACAUGCAAGUCGAACGAUGAUUAUCUAGCUUGCUAGAUAUGAUUAGUGGCGGACGGGUGAGUAACGUUUAGGAAUCUGCCUAGUAGUGGGGGAUAGCUCGGGGAGACUCGAAUUAAUACCGCAUACGACCUACGGGUGAAAGGGGGCGCAAGCUCUUGCUAUUAGAUGAGCCUAAAUCAGAUUAGCUAGUUGGUGGGGUAAAGGCCCACCAAGGCGACGAUCUGUAACUGGUCUGAGAGGAUGAUCAGUCACACCGGAACUGAGACACGGUCCGGACUCCUACGGGAGGCAGCAGUGGGGAAUAUUGGACAAUGGGGGCAACCCUGAUCCAGCCAUGCCGCGUGUGUGAAGAAGGCCUUUUGGUUGUAAAGCACUUUAAGCAGGGAGGAGAGGCUAAUGGUUAAUACCCAUUAGAUUAGACGUUACCUGCAGAAUAAGCACCGGCUAACUCUGUGCCAGCAGCCGCGGUAAUACAGAGGGUGCGAGCGUUAAUCGGAAUUACUGGGCGUAAAGCGAGUGUAGGUGGCUCAUUAAGUCACAUGUGAAAUCCCCGGGCUUAACCUGGGAACUGCAUGUGAUACUGGUGGUGCUAGAAUAUGUGAGAGGGAAGUAGAAUUCCAGGUGUAGCGGUGAAAUGCGUAGAGAUCUGGAGGAAUACCGAUGGCGAAGGCAGCUUCCUGGCAUAAUAUUGACACUGAGAUUCGAAAGCGUGGGUAGCAAACAGGAUUAGAUACCCUGGUAGUCCACGCCGUAAACGAUGUCUACUAGCCGUUGGGGUCCUUGAGACUUUAGUGGCGCAGUUAACGCGAUAAGUAGACCGCCUGGGGAGUACGGCCGCAAGGUUAAAACUCAAAUGAAUUGACGGGGGCCCGCACAAGCGGUGGAGCAUGUGGUUUAAUUCGAUGCAACGCGAAGAACCUUACCUGGUCUUGACAUAGUGAGAAUCCUGCAGAGAUGCGGGAGUGCCUUCGGGAAUUCACAUACAGGUGCUGCAUGGCUGUCGUCAGCUCGUGUCGUGAGAUGUUGGGUUAAGUCCCGCAACGAGCGCAACCCUUUUCCUUAUUUGCCAGCGGGUUAAGCCGGGAACUUUAAGGAUACUGCCAGUGACAAACUGGAGGAAGGCGGGGACGACGUCAAGUCAUCAUGGCCCUUACGACCAGGGCUACACACGUGCUACAAUGGUAGGUACAGAGGGUUGCUACACAGCGAUGUGAUGCUAAUCUCAAAAAGCCUAUCGUAGUCCGGAUUGGAGUCUGCAACUCGACUCCAUGAAGUCGGAAUCGCUAGUAAUCGCAGAUCAGAAUGCUGCGGUGAAUACGUUCCCGGGCCU
rnacentral:rRNA from 1 species